ACUCAAAUGAAUAGACGGGGGCCCGCACAAGCGGUGGAGCAUGUGGUUUAAUUCGACGCAACGCGAAGAACCUUACCAGGUCUUGACAUCCCUUGACAGCCCAAGAGAUUGGGUGUUCAAUCUUCGGAUUGACAAGGAGACAGGUGGUGCAUGGUUGUCGUCAGCUCGUGUCGUGAGAUGUUGGGUUAAGUCCCGCAACGAGCGCAACCCUUAUUCUUAGUUGCCAUCAGGUAAAGCUGGGCACUCUAAGGAGACUGCCGGUGACAAACCGGAGGAAGGUGGGGAUGACGUCAAAUCAUCAUGCCCUUUAUGACCUGGGCUACACACGUGCUACAAUGGCCUGUACAAAGGGUAGCGAAGCCGUGAGGUGGAGCCAAUCCCAAAAAGCAGGUCUCAGUUCGGAUUGCAGGCUGCAACUCGCCUGCAUGAAGUCGGAAUCGCUAGUAAUCGCGGAUCAGCACGCCGCGGUGAAUACGUUCCCGGGCCUUGUACACACCGCCCGU
rnacentral:rRNA from 1 species